rnacentral:rRNA from 1 species
GACGAACGCUGGCGGCGUGCUUAACACAUGCAAGUCGAACGGAAAGGCCCUGCUUUUGUGGGGUGCUCGAGUGGCGAACGGGUGAGUAACACGUGAGUAACCUGCCCUUGACUUUGGGAUAACUUCAGGAAACUGGGGCUAAUACCGGAUAGGAGCUCCUGCUGCAUGGUGGGGGUUGGAAAGUUUCGGCGGUUGGGGAUGGACUCGCGGCUUAUCAGCUUGUUGGUGGGGUAGUGGCUUACCAAGGCUUUGACGGGUAGCCGGCCUGGGAGGGUGACCGGCCACAUGGGGACUGAGAUGCGGCCCAGACUCCUACGGGAGGCAGCAGUGGGGAAUAUUGCACAAUGGGCGGAAGCAGGAUGCAGCAACGCCGCGUGGGGGAUGACGGCCUUCGGGUUGUAAACCGCUUUCGCCUGUGACGAAGCGUGAGUGACGGUAAUGGGUAAAGAAGCACCGGCUAACUACGU